rnacentral:rRNA from 1 species
GACGGAGGGGGCUAGCGUUGUUCGGAAUUACUGGGCGUAAAGAGUGCGUAGGCGGUUUAGUAAGUUGGAAGUGAAAGCCCGGGGCUUAACCCCGGAACUGCUUUCAAAACUACUAAUCUAGAGUGUAGUAGGGGAUGAUGGAAUUCCUAGUGUAGAGGUGAAAUUCUUAGAUAUUAGGAGGAACACCGGUGGCGAAGGCGGUCAUCUAGGCUACAACUGACGCUGAGGCACGAAAGCGUGGGGAGCAAACAGG